rnacentral:rRNA from 1 species
CCUACGGGAGGCAGCAGUGAGGAAUAUUGGUCAAUGGCCGGAAGGCUGAACCAGCCAAGCCGCGUGAAGGACGAAGGUGCCAAGCAUUGUAAACUUCUUUUGUCAAGGGACAAAAUCAGGCUCGAGAGCCUGACCUCGGGUACUUGAAGAAAAGACAUCGGCUAACUCCGUGCCAGCAGCCGCGGUAAUACGGAGGGUGCGAGCGUUAUCCGGAUUUAUUGGGUUUAAAGUGUGCGUAGGGGGACGGUUAAGUCAGCGGUAAAAGCCCGGGGCUCAACCCCGGCGAGCCGUUGAAACUGGCUGUCUUGAGAUGUGGAGAGGUAUGCGGAAUGCGAAGUGUAGCGGUGAAAUGCUUAGAUAUUGCGCAGAACUCCGAUUGCGAAGGCAGCAUACCGGCGGCGAUCUGACGUUGAGGCACGAAAGCGUGGGGAGCAAACAGGAUUAGAUACCCUAGUAGUC